rnacentral:rRNA from 1 species
CAGUCGCCGCGGGAAUACAGAGGUCCCAAGCGUUGUUCGGAUUCACUGGGCGUAAAGGGUGCGUAGGAGGCUGGGAAAGUCGGAUGUGAAAUCUCACCGCUUAACGGUGAAACUGCAUUCGAUACUACUCGGCUAGAGGAUCGGAGGGGAGAGCAGAAUUCUUGGUGUAGCGGUGAAAUGCGUAGAUAUCAAGAGGAAUACCAACAGCGUAGGCAGCUCUCUGGAAGAUUCCUGACUCUGAGGCACGAAGGCCAGGGGAGCAAACGGGAUUAGAUACCCGUGUAGUCCCUGUCUCUUAUAC